CCACAAACUGACGUGUAAUCUUGGCUCUGUAUGCCUCGCAAAAAGCAGGUUUACGCCACCUUUGCCACUGAUUGCCCAUUAUCUGACACGUAUAAUGACACAAAGGCCUCGUACAAAUGGUAAAUGUGUGAAGUUACCCAAAAGAAGGCUGAACCAUGGUUCUAUCGCAUAGGCAGUUGAGUCCCUGAGUUGCGCUUCAGGUAUAAGUUGUCCACGCUUCACUCUCACGCACUGGGGUGAGAUCUACCAUUUGAUCUUGAAAAUCUCCCUUAAUGUUCAGGGAAGGGAAACCAGCCAGGUUAUGCCUUUAAAGGGCUCGUGCCUUGUCCUUGAAAGACCUCUUGCCCAGAUGUCAGACACUAGUCGCAACAGUCACAGCCCACCACCUGUCUCCGAGUUCCAAUGCGUCUUGAGCGUCACACCGAUGAACAAGUAUGCGUUGCACCAUGGUGCGCUAUAGUUUUUGUGCUGGGACCUCGUGGCGCAAUGGUAGUGCGUCUGACUCCAGAUCAGAAGGUUGCGUGUUCAAAUCACGUCGGGGUCAUUCAAUGUGCUCUUUUUCACACAGACCCAUGAUUUUCUGCGCAGUCUAAUAAGGAUGCUGUUAUGUGGACUCCAAUCUCUAUGAUGACCACCCAUGUCUUUGUCAACUUCAUGCUAAAAGUGCCCAAAGCCCGUGGUGGUGGCAGUGCAUGGCGUUUGUGUGGAAGCAGGAGUGGAUCUAAUCACAGCCUGUAGAAGGUGGUCCGAGUUCAGUUACAAUGGAACUGUGAAUGUGAAUUGUCCCAUGAAUGUGAACGUAACUUGUAUCCGGGUCCGCACUUUUUCAGGAAGUAGAGUAACCUGUGCUGAAGGCCUGUUGUGGUGAUGACGUGUCAUGACAUGUUUUGGCCCAAAUCUGCAGUGACUUUGAAAAAGUGGAAGCUCCUCUGAAUAUUGUGGAGUUUCUUGAUUUUGCGUUAAUUUCUGUGAUCACAAAAAGGUGAAAUUCUGGACUGACACAUGGAAGAUAUGGAAUGAUAACAGAAGAAUGUGACUUUGGGUUGUACCGUGUAUUUUUUUCAUGUAGCUUUAUUAUUUAGUAUAAAUGAAGGCAAGUGUGUGUUCUGUUCUUCAUCUCUGCAGUCUUGUGUUCCCUGAUAGUCAAUGAUUGCUGGAGCUCUGGAAAUAGCAGGUGAGAUUGCAGGCCGGAGUCCCGUCGCUGUCCAAGGAACCAAAAUCAACCUCCUCUACUCCUGAGACCACAGUGUGACUGAGAGCCUAGACUACAUGGAGAACGAGAAACUCGGACACAACAGUACAUCCUGACCAUUGGUACUGUGUACACAUCAACAUACACACACGUCUCCAUGCUGGACAUCUCAGGAGCUUUCACACAGUGCUAGGAAUAUCCCGGGACAGAGAAACGCACCUUCUAAGUGAGCGAGUUUAGCGUCAACCGGUGAAAUUUGCUGUAGCGUGAACACUUCGCCUCUGUGAGCUUCACUCUCCGUAGGGUUCACUGUAAUUAGACAUAAAAUGUACAUAGUUUAUUUUUCAUGCAUUUAGGAUUUCAUGUUUUUUUUUUUUUUUUUUUUUUUUUUUUUUUUUUUUUUUUACUCUUUGAGGAACAGAAAUGAUAUUUCGAGGCAGCUUCUUCUUCACUACCUGCUCCGUUUGACUCAAAAAUGUAACGACCGGUUUCAAAAAGUCACGAUGUCUUCAGUUCAUGUGAUUUUACUGUUGAAUUUAAACAGGAAAUGUGAAAUAUUUUUUCCCUUUGUUUCCUCUACUGUCUUUUUGCUGUGAUCUUGAACACAGUUGUAAUUUAAAAAAAAAAAAAUAAUAAUAAAAAAAUUAUAAUUCUAGUUCUCUCACUUUCCUUGUCCUAAUUGUCCUGUAUCUGUUAAAUCCGUUUCAUCUCUGGUCUUUCUGUCUGUAUGAAC
ensembl:lncRNA